AGAUGUUUACUGGGGAUUUGUUUUUGCACUUUUCGUGGCCAUCUUGAACCUAAACUCGUACCACGUCUACACAAUGUCUUAUGGAUGUGGAAUCAUUAUGUUUGCACUUAGAGGAGCAAAACGGAAAUACAGUUCUCUAAGGAAGCUGAGAAAGAGGCGAUCCAGGUGAAAUUACGGGCAGUGACAUCCAGUGUGUUAUCCACACGGUGUUACAGCACGAGUUAGUUUUCAUGAAAUGAACUUUAGACACAGAUAUGGUCAAUUCUUCCAGGAAGUUAGCAAAUGACGCCACCGAAACAAUGUGCCAGUUUCAUGACGAGGUUUUUUGUUAACCAUUACCAGCUCAGACGUAAUUAGCUAUCACAGAGAUUACAAUAAAAAAAAUGAAA